rnacentral:rRNA from 1 species
GACAGAGGGUGCAAACGUUGUUCGGAAUCACUGGGCGUAAAGCGCGUGUAGGCGGCCAGAUAAGUCGGGUGUGAAAUCCCACGGCUCAACCGUGGAAGUGCAUUCGAAACUGCUUGGCUCGAGUCUCGGAGAGGAAGGUGGAAUGCUUGGUGUAGAGGUGAAAUUCGUAGAUAUCAAGCGGAACACCGGUGGCGAAGGCGGCCUUCUGGACGAUGACUGACGCUGAGACGCGAAAGCGUGGGGAGCAAACAGG